GAUGAACGCUGGCGGCGUGCCUAAUACAUGCAAGUCGAGCGAACGGACGAGAAGCUUGCUUCUCUGAUGUUAGCGGCGGACGGGUGAGUAACACGUGGAUAACCUACCUAUAAGACUGGGAUAACUUCGGGAAACCGGAGCUAAUACCGGAUAAUAUUUUGAACCGCAUGGUUCAAAAGUGAAAGGCGGUCUUGCUGUCACUUAUAGAUGGAUCCGCGCUGCAUUAGCUAGUUGGUGAGAUAACUGCCCACCAAGGCGACGAUCAGUAGCCGACCUGAGAGGGUGAUCGGCCACAUUGGAACUGAGACACGGUCCAAACUCCUACGGGAGGCAGCAGUGGGGAAUAUUGCACAAUGGGCGAAAGCCUGAUGCAGCAACGCCGCGUGAACGAUGAAGGUCUUCGGAUCGUAAAGUUCUGUUGCAGGGGAAAGAUAUGACGGUACCCUGUGAGGAAGCCCCGGCUAACUACGUGCCAGCAGCCCGCAUAAUACGUAGGGGGCUAGCGUUAUCCGGAUUUACUGGGCGUAAAGGGUGCGUAAGUGGUCCUUCAGUCGGUGGUUAAGGCUACGGCUCAACCGUAGUAAGCCGCCGAAACUGGAGGACUUGAGUGCAGGAGAGGGAAGUGGAAUUCCCAGUGUAGCGGUGAAAUGCGUAGAUAUUGGGAGGAACACCAGUAGCGAAGGCGGCUUUCUGGACUGCAACUGACACUGAGGCACGAAAGCGUGGGUAGCAAACAGGAUUAGAUACCCUGGUAGUCCACGCUGUAAACGAUGAGUACUAGGUGUCGGGGGUUACCCCCCUCGGUGCCGCAGCUAACGCAUUAAGUACUCCGCCUGGGGAGUACGCACGCAAGUGUGAAACUCAAAGGAAUUGACGGGGACCCGCACAAGUAGCGGAGCAUGUGGUUUAAUUCGAAGCAACGCGAAGAACCUUACCUAAGCUUGACAUCCCUCGGACAGGUGUUUAAUCACACCCUUCCUUCGGGACUGAGGUGACAGGUGGUGCAUGGUUGUCGUCAGCUCGUGUCGUGAGAUGUUGGGUUAAGUCCCGCAACGAGCGCAACCCUUGUCUUUAGUUGCCAGCAUUUAGUUGGGCACUCUAGAGAGACUGCCAGGGAUAACCUGGAGGAAGGUGGGGAUGACGUCAAAUCAUCAUGCCCCUUAUGCUUAGGGCUACACACGUGCUACAAUGGGUGGUACAGAGGGUUGCCAAACCGUGAGGUGGAGCCAAUCCCUUAAAGCCAUUCUCAGUUCGGAUUGUAGGCUGAAACUCGCCUACAUGAAGCUGGAGUUACUAGUAAUCGCAGAUCAGAAUGCUGCGGUGAAUGCGUUCCCGGGUCU
rnacentral:rRNA from 1 species